CGGGAUUGGUCAAAGAUUGAAAGAAAUAUCUUAUGUGUCUUCGGCUUCGACACUACGCAUAGGAAGCCGUUGCUGAUAAUCCAAUCUUUGAAAAGGUUCAUGUGUUGUGGCGUAUGAAAUGUUGAACGCCAAGACGAUCAGGUGGAUCUAUC